rnacentral:rRNA from 3 species
AAGAUUUUAAUGAUCGAACAGAUCAAAAUUUUAAACUUUUGCAUUUAAAUUUUAUCUUAAUCCAACAUCGAGGUCGCAAACUUUUUUUUUUAUUUGUACUAAAAAAAAAUAUUACG